rnacentral:rRNA from 1 species
CCUACGGGAGGCAGCAGUGGGGAAUAUUGACAAUGGGGGAAACCCUGAUGCAGCGACGCCGCGUGAGUGAAGAAGUAAUUCGUUAUGUAAAGCUCUAUCAGCAGGGAAGAAAAUGACGGUACCUGAGUAAGAAGCCCCGGCUAACUACGUGCCAGCAGCCGCGGUAAUACGUAGGGGGCAAGCGUUAUCCGGAUUUACUGGGUGUAAAGGGGGCGUAGACGGCAGUGCAAGUCUGGAGUGAAAGGCGGGGGCUCAACCCCCGGACUGCUCUGGAAACUGUACGGCUGGAGUGCAGGAGAGGUAAGUGGAAUUCCGAGUGUAGCGGUGAAAUGCGUAGAUAUUAGGAGGAACACCAGUGGCGAAGGCGGCUUACUGGACUGUAACUGACGUUGAGGCUCGAAAGCGUGGGGAGCAAACAGGAUUAGAUACCCGGGUAGUC